GGUUUAAUAGCCUUUCAUUCACAAGAAUUUUACACUAGUGAAAUUGAUCUUCUAGAUGAGCCACUGGAAGGACAAACUUCAAAUGGUAUUUACAGCUGUCAGGAGAGAAUCCUUUUCAUUCUGAAGAUGAAGAUUCUGAGGACCAUGAUGGGGUGCUGACCGAGGAGGAAGUUGAAGGGGAGUGUGAAUUAAAAGAGAAAUUCUUUAUCUCCAUCAUGCCUUGAUAUAGAGACAUCUAAGAGGAUCCAAGACCUGGAACAUAUUGAGGGAUCGAACUCAGGACAUUGCGCUUACAAGGCAGGCGCCAUAACCAUUGAGCUAAAUCCCCGGCCCAAGACUACUUUUGAAUGCACCAAAAGCUUCUGACUCACCAUGGCAACAUCUUCCUGCUGAAAGAUAAGAAUCUUGCCUCUAAGAAGUAGAAAAACUUGCAAGAGAAACCAACAGUAAGAUUUCUGGCCUGAGGCUCAGCAAACUUUUCUUUUCAUUAGCCCUCUCCUCCUCUGUAUUCAUUCCACAGACACUGAAUCUCCUGUGAGCCAUCUGGGGUCACACUAUGAACAAUACACAGUGAAAUCCCUGCCUUGUGGCCCUUCCAUCCUAUUAGGCAGAGACAGGCAGGAUUCAAAACAGCCUAAAGGUAACCUGUCUACAAUUUAUUUCCUGCACAUCCUCAUGUUUGGGCUAUGGUGAAGUGGAGAGGCCAACAACAGACCGCAGCAAUUUUGCUAGUCUCAGUUCUGCCAUCUACAUAUUGUGGGUUUAAGGCAGACCUUCAUCCAAUAUGAGCCUCAGUUUCCUCAUCUAUAAAAUGGGGAGGGAUUGGAUUAAAUGACUUAUUAAGGGAAAGGGUCCUUUUAGGCUCUUUUAUUUUUCAUGUUUUUAUAAGAACAAUUUGCACAAAACCAAGGGUCAGUUUGUUCAUUGUUCUAAGGUUUGCAAAAUAUUUUUAAAUAAAAUAAAAGAAUCCUUUAGGUAUUCC
ensembl:lncRNA